rnacentral:lncRNA from 1 species
ACUUUGCACGAUGUGUUGUUAUGUCAUAUGAACACUUCAUAAGCCCAUAUGUUUAUAAUUUACAUACAUUUAACCGAUAUAUCAUAUUUUAUAGGAAUCCUAAUCUAAAUAAAAAAAUAAAGCUAGCAACAAACUUCUCAUAUUUUAAUAUAAUACUAAGGUAUAUUAAGAGGUAAUAUUAGAGUAAGAUAAGGUUUGACUAAUUUUUAUUUUUAUUAUUAAAUAAAUAUGUCUCAGAGCUACAUAUUAUUGUAAAUAUUAACUAUCCAAUAUCAUAAAUAUUAUGGUUAUCAAUAAAAUAAAUUAUAGACUUUUAACAUCCAUUUGAUGUUUUCCUCCUGUUGCAACAUAUGGGCAUAUUUACUAGUAAAUAACAAGAGUGAAAGUUGAUCUCAAGAUUUUGUUAGCUUCUUGUCUUUUCAUGAACAAUGCAGAAAUUGGCUAAAACUUAAAAAUCUAUAUAAAAUAAAAAACAAAUACAAAAAAUACAAUUUAAAUUUUGUUAAGUUCCUUUCGACCAAAGAGUAUAACUGUGUCAUUGCGUGUGAAAAGUCUAAGAGCAUAUCUAUAUCUCUUAUAUAGUUAAACCCCACUAGCUAAUUCUCUUGACAUGCAAAGUAUUCACAUCAUCAUCCAUUAGAGCAUCUCAAUAACUAAUUCUCUUGCCAUGCAAAGCGUCCACAUCAACAUCCACUAAAUCAUCCCACUAAUGCAUUACCCCGCCAUGCAAAGUGUUCACAUGAUUAUCCACUAA